rnacentral:rRNA from 1 species
UGGGGAAUCUUGCGCAAUGGGGGAAACCCUGACGCAGCGACGCCGCGUGCGGGAUGAAGGCCUUCGGGUUGUAAACCGCUUUCAGCAGGGACGAGGCCUUAUGGUGACGGUACCUGCAGAAGAAGCUCCGGCUAAAUACGUGCCAGCAGCCGCGGUAAUACGUAUGGAGCAAGCGUUAUCCGGAUUCAUUGGGCGUAAAGCGCUCGUAGGCGGUCUGUUAGGUCGGCAAGUUAAAUCCGGGGGCUCAACCCCCGUCCGCUUCCGAUACCGGCAGACUUGAGUUUGGUAGGGGAAGGUGGAAUUCCUAGUGUAGCGGUGGAAUGCGCAGAUAUUAGGAAGAACACCGGUGGCGAAGGCAGGUUACUGGGCCGUUACUGACGCUGAGGAGCGAAAGCAUGGGGAGCGAACAGG